UACGGAGGAUGCAAGCGUUACCCGGAAUGAUUGGGCGUAAAGCGUCCGCAGGUGGCUAUGUAAGUCUGCUGUUAAAGAGUGAGGCUCAACCUCAUAAGAGCAGUGGAAACUACAUAGCUAGAGUGCGUUCGGGGCAGAGGGAAUUCCUGGUGUAGCGGUGAAAUGCGUAGAUAUCAGGAAGAACACCGGUGGCGAAAGCGCUCUGCUAGGCCGCAACUGACACUGAGGGACGAAAGCUAGGGGAGCGAAUGGG
rnacentral:rRNA from 1 species